GCUUAUGUAUGCUCUAUGCACUUCACUCUGCUUCCUGAGGCAGGUGAGAUGUUUAAUAUCUACUUGCCUGAAUGUUAAUGUCUGCCCACAGAAAUAAGUCGGAGCUCUGGAGUAGAGAACACCCGAUGAUUCAGAAUCGUUCCGGAGUGCUAUAUUUCUUCGACUGCUCAGACUGUACCCCUCAAAACCAGCUGUCCACUCUUUUUCAAGGCAAAGAUAUUGAAAACUGUUAGAAUCUCUUGAGGGAUAUCUUCAAUACAGACACGUUAAAUAAAACAUGGAAAUGGGAGACUACUCUUAGGGGCCAUGGUCAAGUUCAGUAAAAUAAAAGAUUCCAUUAACAGGGUAUCAUGAUCAGUCCCACAAAUUACAAAAAAGAUUUUAGUAUAUUCCUGCAUAAUUUUGACAUAAUAAAUCAAACAAGUGUUAUCUCUUAUCUAAUAAAAUCAUGGUACAAGCAUAA
rnacentral:lncRNA from 1 species